CUGAGCUUCCAUGUAGAAAUUAAGCAAAAAGUAAAUAAAGAUGAAAUUUUAAUAGCCAAAUGCCUCGUCAUCUAAUUAGUGACGCGCAUGAAUG
rnacentral:rRNA from 1 species